UGACAUCAGAGAGAUUGUGUAAGAAAAGAGC
rnacentral:piRNA from 2 species